rnacentral:rRNA from 1 species
GAUCUCUUAAAGCUGUUCUCAGUUCGGACUGCAGUCUGCAACUCGACUGCACGAAGCUGGAAUCGCUAGUAAUCGCGGAUCAGCACGCCGCGGUGAAUACGUUCCCGGGCCUUGUACACACCGCCCGUCACACCAUGGAAGUCUGCAAUGCCCGAAGCCGGUGGCCUAACCACUUAUGUGGAAGGAGCCGUCUAAGGCAGGGCAGAUGACUGGGGUGAAGUCGUAACAAGGUACC